rnacentral:misc_RNA from 1 species
ACCUAGUCAUUGGCAAUGAUUAGGUUUAUUUUCGUUCCCCUUUUUAUGCCCUCUUUUGAAUGACUUUUAUUGUAUGCAUGAGCCAACAUGACAAUGCAUACUUUUACCUAUUUCUUUGAUGGCUUACCUGUGGAGAGACAAUUUACAUGUAUUUUUUAGAUAGUAGGUAAGAUAUACUCACAUCAAUUUUUUUCCAGAUACCGGUAUGUACCAGAUUUAAUUUUAGUUGUUUCCAUCACUUUUGACAGUUCAUAGAAUUAUGUUUGACCAGUGUACCUGUAGAUGUUGUUUAAUUUGAUUUGACAUUAACAGCAUUGUUAAUCCAACAAUAAGGAAGUUCAGAAGGGGGUGGGGGGUCCGAGGUCAUUGACCAAGUGGCACCUAUCCAAAAGAGGUCCCACCCCAAGGAUAUUAGUUUUUCCUAGGUAGCACUAGCUGGACUUCAGGGGGCUUAAGUAAGUUUCAUCUACUGGUGUGUGAUGUUUGUUAUUUUAUGUACACAUUGUAUGUACUUUGUAUAUGCUGACUUUAAUUUAUUACUUAGUACCUGGCGUACAUUUGUGUUUAUAGUCUGUGUAAUGUUUCUUUUGGGUUUUUAUAAAGCUGCAUUUAGCAGAAAAACCUUUGUGUGUUUUUAUGGAGAUCAAUUGCUGUGUAUUUGGUGCUAUUUUUUGUGCUUAAUUCAAUUAGUUUCAUGCACUUGAAUCGAAAGUAUCAAUUUUACUUAAAUGAUUAUAGACACUAAUGCUUGCAACUACAACCAUUUGAUAUACACCUUCAAAUUAUUUUCCACUUUCAGUCAACAACAAGAAUAUUUGUUUAUCAUCAUGAUUCAAACUUUGAAGAUGAAAGAAUUCAGAUUUUUAAUACAUUAAACUUAACUGAAUAUAUUAUAACAUUGGACUCUUUUCUCCCUCAUUGUAUUUAAUGU